rnacentral:rRNA from 1 species
GACAGAGGGUGCAACCGUUGUUCGGAAUUACUGGGCGUAAAGCGCGUGUAGGCGGCAACGCAAGUCGGAUGUGAAAUCCCAUGGCUCAACCAUGGAAGUGCACCCGAAACUGCGUCGCUAGAGUCCUGGAGAGGAAGGUGGAAUGCUUGGUGUAGAGGUGAAAUUCGUAGAUAUCAAGCGGAACACCGGUGGCGAAGGCGGCCUUCUGGACAGUGACUGACGCUGAGACGCGAAAGCGUGGGGAGCAAACAGG